rnacentral:rRNA from 1 species
AUUGAACGCUGGCGGCAUGCCUUACACAUGCAAGUCGAACGGCAGCACGGGCUUCGGUCUGGUGGCGAGUGGCGAACGGGUGAGUAAAGUAUCGGAACGUACCUUUCAGUGGGGGAUGACGUAGCGAAAGUUACGCUAAUACCGCAUAUUCUGUGAGCAGGAAAGCAGGGGAUCGCAAGACCUUGCGCUGAUUGAGCGGCCGAUAUCAGAUUAGCUAGUUGGUGGGGUAAAGGCCUACCAAGGCGACGAUCUGUAGCGGGUCUGAGAGGAUGAUCCGCCACACUGGAACUGAGACAUGGUCCAGACUCCUACGGGAGGCAGCAGUGGGGAAUUUUGGACAAUGGGGGCAACCCUGAUCCAGCCAUGCCGCGUGAGUGAAGAAGGCCUUCGGGUUGUAAAGCUCUUUCGGCCGGGAAGAAAUCGCAUGGGCUAAUACCCUGUGUGGAUGACGGUACCGGAAUAAGAAGCACCGGCUAACUACGUGCCAGCCGCCGCAGUAAUAC